rnacentral:rRNA from 1 species
GAUGAACGCUAGCUACAGGCUUAACACAUGCAAGUCGAGGGGUAACGAGAGGGAUGCUUGCUUUCCUUGUCGACGACCGGCGCACGGGUGAGUAACGCGUAUCCAACCUGCCCCCAACUAGGGAAUAACCUUGCGAAAGUAAGACUAAUACCCUAUAAUUUCCUCAGAUGUCAUCUGACGAGGAAUAAAGAUUUAUCGGUUGUGGAUGGGGAUGCGUCUGAUUAGUUUGUUGGCGGGGUAACGGCCCACCAAGGCAACGAUCAGUAGGGGUUCUGAGAGGAAGGUCCCCCACAUUGGAACUGAGACACGGUCCAAACUCCUACGGGAGGCAGCAGUGAGGAAUAUUGGUCAAUGGGCGGAAGCCUGAACCAGCCAAGUAGCGUGCAGGAUGACGGCCCUAUGGGUUGUAAACUGCUUUUAUACAGGAAUAAAGUUAGCCACGUGUGGUUAUUUGUAGGUACUGUAUGAAUAAGGACCGGCUAAUUCCGUGCCAGCAGCCGCCGUAA